UACGGGGGGGAGCAAGCGUUGUUCGGAUUUACUGGGCGUAAAGGGCGCGUAGGCGGCGUGACUAGUCACUUGUGAAAUCUCCGGGCUUAACUCGGAAAGGUCAAGUGAUACUGUCGUGCUAGAGUACAGAAGGGGCAACUGGAAUUCUCGGUGUAGCGGUGAAAUGCGUAGAUAUCGAGAGGGAACACCUGCGGCGAAGGCGGGUUGCUGGGCUGAUACUGACGCUGGAU
rnacentral:rRNA from 1 species